rnacentral:rRNA from 1 species
UGGGGAAUAUUGCACAAUGGGCGCAAGCCUGAUGCAGCCAUGCCGCGUGUAUGAAGAAGGCCUUCGGGUUGUAAAGUACUUUCAGCGGGGAGGAAGGGAGUAAAGUUAAUACCUUUGCUCAUUGACGUUACCCGCAGAAGAAGCACCGGCUAACUCCGUGCCAGCAGCCGCGGGAAUACGGAGGGGGCCAGCGUUACUCGGAAUUACUGGGCGUAAAGCGCACGCAGGCGGUUUGUUAAGUCAGAUGUGAAAUCCCCGGGCUCAACCUGGGAACUGCAUCUGAUACUGGCAAGCUUGAGUCUCGUAGAGGGGGGUAGAAUUCCAGGUGUAGCGGUGAAAUGCGUAGAGAUCUGGAGGAAUACCGGUGGCGAAGGCGGCCCCCUGGACGAAGACUGACGCUCAGGUGCGAAAGCGUGGGGAGCAAACA